rnacentral:rRNA from 1 species
GAUGAACGCUGGCGGCGUGCCUAAUACAUGCAAGUCGAGCGAACAGAUGAGGAGCUUGCUCCUCUGACGUUAGCGGCGGACGGGUGAGUAACACGUGGAUAACCUACCUAUAAGACUGGGAUAACUUCGGGAAACCGGAGCUAAUACCGGAUAAUAUAUUGAACCGCAUGGUUGAAUAGUGAAAGACGGUUUUGCUGUCACUUAUAGAUGGAUCCGCGCCGCAUUAGCUAGUUGGUAAGGUAACGGCUUACCAAGGCAACGAUGCGUAGCCGACCUGAGAGGGUGAUCGGCCACACUGGAACUGAGACACGGUCCAGACUCCUACGGGAGGCAGCAGUAGGGAAUCUUCCGCAAUGGGCGAAAGCCUGACGGAGCAACGCCGCGUGAGUGAUGAAGGUCUUCGGAUCGUAAAACUCUGUUAUUAGGGAAGAACAAAUGUGUAAGUAACUAUGCACGUCUUGACGGUACCUAAUCAGAAAGCCACGGCUAACUACGUG